GGAGGGAGAGUGAAAUAGAGAUAGACUAAACAUAGACUAGACUCAGGAACUCUAAAAUCCAGUUGGAAGUAUUACUUCCUCUGUCAGUUACUUCACUCAGGGAAGCAGGAGGUAGAAGUUUGAGCCAGGAGGUAGAAGUUUCAGCCAGUGGGUCUGAGCUGUACAAAUGCUGACAUUUCAUUCUCUGGGAGAGGCCAAAGAAAGGCAGGGCUUCUAGGCGUGUGCUCGCAACUGCCACCCUGUGGUGGGGUCGUGGCGGGGGAGGCUGGUGGGCUAGACCCAUCUGUGCAGGGGCCAACAGUAGCCUCCUACCCGGAUGGGGGCUACCCCAGGGGGAUUAGGAUGAGCUCACCAUUACCAGGUAGAAAGUGAACACAGGAAAACAUGAGCUGGAGGUCAGACCGCCCUAUGUUCGUUACCCUAACUGACCACUGCCAUCAAGAUUGUUAAGCAUUUUGUCACCGUUAAAGGAUUUCACACAAGCUGUUCCUCCCACUCAAACCUUGGCCAGGAAACUGGUGGAUGAUUUGCCCUUGAUUCAGAGGCAAUCAUUCUUAAUUGCCUCACAUGGUUGGAAGAAAUUCCAUAAAGAUUCUUUCAUCUCUACCAGCAUGAGCAUGUGUCAUUUGUGGAAGCAGGCCUACUUGCCAUGACAACAACUAUUCUGUGGCUUUGCAGAGGUA
rnacentral:lncRNA from 1 species